ensembl:lncRNA
GCCUGGCCUCAACUGGCACUUCUGGACGCCAGGUUCUAGCAUUCAGGACCUGAUAGUUCACACGGGGAGUGCUUGAACUCAUUGGGUUGACUCGAUCCGAUCCUCCACCUCAUUCUAUGUAGUGUCUGAUUUGGGUCCGAGUUUUUACCCCAAAGUCUUGCAUGCACUCCUUCCACACCCCCGUACUCCACUGCUCAUGUGCCGGCUUCUUUUCUCCAGUCAUUUGAUAAAAGUCUGCACAGGAAGGGACAUGUGACUAUUACAGAAGGCAGACUCUGACCUCCCCAGAAUAUUCUACGCAUACACGCCAUGGUCGUGCCCUCCUUCCAGUAAAACGUGUGGGCUAAUGACAUUUGACAGCCACAUCCUUUAAACGUUUGCAAAUACGUCCGCGAACAGGCACGUUUCCGACGUUAACUGGUGGUCCAGUCACAGAUGACUGCCAAGGCUGCCCUCCGUGUGGCCCGAGCAAGUCACGCUUUGCCAAGUCCAUUGGCUAUUAUGCGACUUUUUAAAAAUUUUAAAGAAGCAUUUUUAUGCAGAGGCCUCUCCUGGCAGCAAGUGUGACCCCUAUUUGGGUCUGGACGACUCUCGCUCCAGAGAGCAGCAGCCCUUCUGAGAGAAGAGAAAAAGCGAAAAGCAGCACGGUAGGCAGGAACAAACUGGUUCUGAACGAGAAGGCCAGAAAUCGCGACCUGAUCUUGCUAGUUUGGGACGAGCCUAAAAUGUGUUGAACUUCUGUGACAAAACGGCCCCCUCAAUCUCAGCAUAGAUAGUAUGAAAAAAGAAAAAAGGGUUGCCAACACUGCGGCCGUUCGCGAACUUGACCCCAAGGGCGCGCAGCAGAAAGCCUGACGAGCAGACUGCGCCCUGAGCAGUAGUUGGGCCAUGAGAUACGCGCGCUGGGGGGAGGGCCGCGGCGCGUGCGUGCGUGCGUGCGCGUGCGUAGGCGUCCGCGCGUGCGUGUUCGUUGACGCUCGGCCCUGGCACUGGUAGAGCGUGCCUAGACGCGGGCUGCGGCGCCGCGUGCUUGCGCUCAACUUGGGCAGCGGCGGCGCACGCGCGGAGCCCAGGAUUCCUGCCGGGAAGCUGGCGCGGGGAGAUCCCACUCCAUGGCGAAGUGUCUUCCCCAAGCUGAAACGAGGCUCGAUGGAGGACGAGGGAAUACAUGUAAAUAAACAACGUAGAAGAUUUAUGGGAAGGCGUUCAAUUUUAUAGGACUGUAUUUAUAGAGCCAGCUCUGGCUCACUUAUAGAUUAAUGGGAAGCUAAAAUUAACGGACUUGUGAGCCUCACGUUUAAUUUCUGAGGCUUCGACGUGACAGGUAACCGCCUUCGAAGUCCAGGCAUGGAAGGCCGCCUUCGUUGGGAGUCAUGAGCGCCCCCAAUAAGAUUACACGUCCCAUCCGUGGUGGCUUUAAGCUCUGGUGCCUGGGGUCCCUGGGGAAGGACCCCCAUGGGACGUUUUGGCAAAUGAAGAAAAAGAAUGUGGCCGCAUAAAAAAAAUCGGUUCUUCUUCGUCCUAGCAUUAUUUUUAAUGGGCCCAUAAGCCUUUAAUGCGGGCGGGCGAGCAGACUGACUUCUGGGGCGCUGGAAGCCUCGCACCCGGGCUGGCUCCCUCCAGGCAGGCUGGGGCGGCAGAGACACCUCCUUCAAGGUCACCCAGGAACCCCCGCAGGGCCCGUGAUCAGGGCCCACGGCCUAGCGGUUCCAGUUUCCCUUCAUUCCUUACUACUUCCGCGGCCUGGUUAAGGCAGUAACAAAAGCAAGGGCAGAGG